rnacentral:tRNA from 1 species
GGGGAUUUAGCUCAGCAUAAGCACCUGCCUUGUAAGCAGGCGGUCGUAAAUUCAAUCCCCA